rnacentral:rRNA from 1 species
GAUGAACGCUGGCGGCGUGCUUAACACAUGCAAGUCGAACGGUGAAGCAGGAGCUUGCUCCUGUGGAUCAGUGGCGAACGGGUGAGUAACACGUGAGCAAUCUGCCCUGGACUCUGGGAUAAGCGUUGGAAACGACGUCUAAUACCGGAUACGAGGCGUGGGGGCAUCCCCAACGCCUGGAAAGAACUUCGGUCCAGGAUGAGCUCGCGGCCUAUCAGCUAGUUGGUGAGGUAACGGCUCACCAAGGCGACGACGGGUAGCCGGCCUGAGAGGGUGACCGGCCACACUGGGACUGAGACACGGCCCAGACUCCUACGGGAGGCAGCAGUGGGGAAUAUUGCACAAUGGGCGCAAGCCUGAUGCAGCAACGCCGCGUGAGGGACGACGGCCUUCGGGUUGUAAACCUCUUUUAGCAGGGAAGAAGCGAAAGUGACGGUACCUGCAGAAAAAGCACCGGCUAACUACGUGCCAGCCGCCGCAGUAAAAC